rnacentral:misc_RNA from 1 species
GAUGAAGAACGUAGCGAAAUGCGAUAAGUAAUGUGAAUUGCAGAAUUCAGUGAAUCAUCGAAUCUUUGAACGCACCUUGCGCCCCCUGGUAUUCCGGGGGGCAUGCCUGUCCGAGCGUCAUUACAACCCUCAAGCUCAGCUUGGUGUUGGGCCCCGCCGCCCCGGCGGGCCCUAAAGUCAGUGGCGGUGCCGUCCGGCUCCGAGCGUAGUAAUUCUUCUCGCUCUGGAGGUCCGGUCGUGUGCUUGCCAGCAACCCCCAAUUUUUUUCAGGUUGACCUCGGAUCAGGUAGGGAUACCCGCUGAACUUAAGCAUAUCAAUAAGCGGAGGA